rnacentral:tRNA from 1 species
GGGGGUAUAGCUCAGUGGUAGAGCAUCUGACUGCAGAUCAAGAGGUCCCAAGCCUCAACUCUGGGUGCCCCCU